rnacentral:rRNA from 1 species
CCAGCUUGCUGGGUGGAUUAGUGGCGAACGGGUGAGUAAUACGUGAGUAACCUGCCCUUGACUCUGGGAUAAGCCUGGGAAACCGGGUCUAAUACUGGAUACUACUUCCUGCCGCAUGGUGGGUGGUGGAAAGGGUUUUACUGGUUUUGGAUGGGCUCACGGCCUAUCAGCUUGUUGGUGGGGUAAUGGCUCACCAAGGCGACGACGGGUAGCCGGCCUGAGAGGGUGACCGGCCACACUGGGACUGAGACACGGCCCAGACUCCUACGGGAGGCAGCAGUGGGGAAUAUUGCACAAUGGGCGGAAGCCUGAUGCAGCGACGCCGCGUGAGGGAUGACGGCCUUCGGGUUGUAAACCUCUUUCAGUAGGGAAGAAGCGCAAGUGACGGUACCUGCAGAAGAAGCGCCGGCUAACUACGUGCCAGCAGCCGCGGUAAUACGUAGGGCGCAAGCGUUGUCCGGAAUUAUUGGGCGUAAAGAGCUCGUAGGCGGUUUGUCGCGUCUGCUGUGAAAGCCCGGGGCUCAACCCCGGGUCUGCAGUGGGUACGGGCAGACUAGAGUGCAGUAGGGGAGACUGGAAUUCCUGGUGUAGCGGUGAAAUGCGCAGAUAUCAGGAGGAACACCGAUGGCGAAGGCAGGUCUCUGGGCUGUUACUGACGCUGAGGAGCGAAAGCAUGGGGAGCGAACAGGAUUAGAUACCCUGGUAGUCCAUGCCGUAAACGUUGGGCACUAGGUGUGGGGGACAUUCCACGUUUUCCGCGCCGUAGCUAACGCAUUAAGUGCCCCGCCUGGGGAGUACGGCCGCAAGGCUAAAACUCAAAGGAAUUGACGGGGGCCCGCACAAGCGGCGGAGCAUGCGGAUUAAUUCGAUGCAACGCGAAGAACCUUACCAAGGCUUGACAUUCACCGGACCGCCCCAGAGAUGGGGUUUCCCUUCGGGGUCGGUGGACAGGUGGUGCAUGGUUGUCGUCAGCUCGUGUCGUGAGAUGUUGGGUUAAGUCCCGCAACGAGCGCAACCCUCGUUCUAUGUUGCCAGCACGUGAUGGUGGGGACUCAUAGGAGACUGCCGGGGUCAACUCGGAGGAAGGUGGGGAUGACGUCAAAUCAUCAUGCCCCUUAUGUCUUGGGCUUCACGCAUGCUACAAUGGCCGGUACAAAGGGUUGCGAUACUGUGAGGUGGAGCUAAUCCCAAAAAGCC